rnacentral:SRP_RNA from 1 species
GCCAGGUAUGAUAGCACAUGCCUGUGGUCUCAGCUACAUGGGAGGCUGAGGCGGGAGGAUCACUUCAGCCCAGGAGUUCUGGACGAUAGUUCACUAUGCCAACUGGGUAUUCACACUAGGUUCGACGUCAGUAUGGUGACCUUCUGGGAGCAGGGAAACUCCGGGUUGCCCAAGAAAGGGCGAAUCGGUUCAGGUCAGAAACAGAACAGCCAAAGCUCCCAUGCUGCUCAGCAAUGGCAUUCUGCCUGUGAAUAGCCACUGCACUCCGCCUGGACAACACAGCAAGACCUCACCUCU